UGUCUCCAAUAUCCAGGGUUUCUGAUGGCGCCAGUGUCAAGGUCUUCCAGUGACUCCAGGUCUUCCAGCAAUUCCAAGUCUUCCAACAACAUCAAGGUCUUCCAGCUAACCCAGUCUUCCAGAAAUCUAUGUCUUCCGGACAAUCCAUGUCUUCCAGGAAAUCCAGUCUUCCAGCAAUUAUAUGUCUUCCACAAAAUCCAUAGCUUCCAGGAAAAUCCACGUCUUCCAGAAAAUCCAUGUCUUCCAACAAUUUCAAGGUCUUCCAGCCAAUCCACGUCUUCCAGAAAAAUCUAUGUCUUCCGCCAAAUCUAAGUCUUCCAGCUAAUUUACGUCUUCCAGAAAAAUCCAAGUCUUCCAGCCAAUCUCUGUCUUCCAGAAAGAAAUCCAGGUCUUCCACUCAGUCCAUGUCUUCCGGAGAAAUCUGUGUCUUCCAGAAAAAUCCAGGUCUUCCAACCAACCCACGUCUUCCAUCAAAUCCAGUCUUCCAGUGCAUUUAUGUCUUCCAGACAAAAAUCUAUGUCUUCCACUGAAUCCAGGUCUUCCGGUAAAUCUACGUCUUCCAGAAAAUUCAUGUCUUCCACUAAAUUCAGGUCUUCCAGCAAAUUUAUGUCUUCCUAGAGAUUGUCUUCCAGAAAAAUUCAUGUCUUCCAGCAAAUCUGUGUCUUCCAAAUAAUCCAGGUCUUCCGGACAAUUCGGGUCUUCCUGAAAAUCCAUGUCUUCCAGAAAAGCCAUGUCUUCCAGGAAAUCCAUGUCUUCCAAUGACCUCCAAGUCUUCCAGAAAAUCCAUGUCUUCCAUCAAAUUCACGUCUUCCAUCAAACCCACGUCUUCCAGAAAAUCCACGUCUUCCAUCAAAUCCAUGUCUUCCAGAAAAUCCACGUCUUCCAAGAAAUACGUCUUCCAUCAAAUUCAUGUCUUCCAGCCUACCCAUGUCUUCCAGAAGAUCCAAGUCUUCCAACAAAGUCACGUCUUCCAAAAAAUCCAUGUCUUCCAACAAAGGUGCAUCUUCCAGAAAAUCCAUGUCUUCCAACAAACCUGUGUCUUCCAGAAAAUCCAUGUCUUCCCACAAAACCAUGUCUUCCAGAAAAUCCACGUCUUCCAAGAAGGGUGCGUCUUCCGGAAAAUCCACGUCUUCCAACAAAGGGUGCGUCUUCCGGAAAAUCCACGUCUUCCAACAAAGGGUGCGUCUUCCGGAAAAUCCACGUCUUCCAACAAAGGGUGCGUCUUCCGGAAAAUCCACGUCUUCCAACAAAGGGUGCGUCUUCCGGAAAAUCCACGUCUUCCAACAAAGGGUGCGUCUUCCGGAAAAUCCACGUCUUCCAACAAGGUCUUCCAGCAUCUCCAGGGCUUCCAGCAUCUGCUCGUCUUCCAGCAUCUCCUCGUCUUCCAGCAUCUCCUCGUCUUCCAGCAUCUCCACGUCUUCCAGCAUCUUCAUGUCUUCCAACAACAACUCAGUCUUCCAAAAGUAGGCUCAAUAUCCACGUCUUCCAAUGUCUCCAGUGUACUGGUCUUCUAACAUUCAGGUCUUCUGGUGUCUACGAUAUCCAGGUCCCCAGUGCCACAGGCCCCUAACAGGAAGGCAGGGCUGGACUCUUGGCCCAGAUUGGGGGCAGUGAUGACAGGAGCAAAAGCAACAAUAGUGAUGGCAGUGGCUGUGGAUCAGGAGGAGAGAUUGGACUGCACAUGGGGUAAGUGCUGGGACCCAAGGUGGCAGAUUGUCUUUCCCGUCUGUCCCCAGAGCCUGUUCCUGUAGUGUAUGUACAAUUAUUAACUCUCUGGCCUGAAUGCCAAGACAGGAGCUGCCUGUGCUCAAGCAGUGCAUUUGUUAGUAAAUUAUAAAAAUAAAAACAUAUAUGGACAUUGUACUAACCUUUUCAGAGAGUCAUUAGAAUUCUUCAAGAAGUUCAGCUGCAACAUUGCAAAGCAGAUAUCCGCAGGCUUAGAAAUAGAAGUCAAAUUUAUAGGUCAUUACAUUUCACAGAAAAGAACACUAUUUUCACAUGAAGACUUGGAUCUCAGUGUUUCUGCUUCUCUGGUUGAGCAGUGAGUAAUACAAUGAUCUAUGGGGAAAACCCCAAAGUAUAGUGCUUCUAGAAGGUACAUACCAGAUAAUGAAAGAUACCAAAAAAACAAAACCCAGCCUAACUUAUAAUUUGCCAAAUGAUGAGUUUUUCUUUUUCUUUUUCUUUUUUUUAGGGCUGCACCCAUGGCAUAUGGAAGUUCCCAGGCUUGGGGUCAAAUCAGAGCCGCAGCUGCUGGCCUACACCACAGCCACAGCAACACCAGAACUGAGCCGCGUCUGCGACCUACACCACAGCUCAUGGCAAUGCCGGAUCCUUAACCCACUGAGCGAGGCCAGGGAUCAAACCCUCAUCUGCAUGGAUACCAGUCGGGUUCAUUAACCAUUGAGCUACGAUGGGAACUCCGAGAUUAUGAAUUUUUCUUAACCUACCGAGAAAAAGUCUAGACCAGCACUGAAUAAUAAGAGUAGUUUUGCAGUGAUGAUGAUGGAAAUGUUCUCUCUCAGUACUUCCGUAGAAAUACAGCUGGUGUGACUGAAGAUGUAAACAUUUCAUUUUAGUUAAUUUAAAUAACUAGAAGUGUCUAGUGGCUAAUGUAAUGGACAGAAAAGGUCUAGAUGCUGUGAUAUGUGGGAAUCUCCUGAAAGAAAUGAAUAUGUUUAUUUUGGACAUGUAAGACUUGAGCUGAACCUGUGGGCUAUUUUCAAAUAUCUGAAAGGUUGUCAUGUGGUUGUUUAGAAAUACUCAGUGUGAUUCCACAAAGCAGAACUAGAACUGAUGAAUAAAUGGUUACACAGGAACCAGUUAUGGAACUUUCUAACAACUACUGUGUCUAAACUGCAAUGGAUGACUAGAUUGGAUGCCCUUUAAGGUCCCUGUGCUAUGAAUCUAUGAUCUAACCAUUGGGAAUGGUGUACUACAGAGAAUUUCUUUCCAGCUAGAUAGCCAUGUAAUGCAAGGGUCAUUUAGGACACCCAGUCUAGGUGGCCUUGUCUAUUUUUCUAUUAAAUCCUGGACGAAAUAUAUUUUGUCAAUCUCUGAGAUUAAUAGUUCUAUUUUCUACCCACAGUGUUUUUGAGAAAAUUCCAUUACUAAAAUAAUUUGUGGGGAAAAAGAAAACUAACUUUUCAAGUCCUUUUUCUUGAGGCUGUCAACAUAUAAGUUCCAUGAUUCCUUCAUUUCCUAGCUUUCAUAGGUCUCCAAGAUUAUGUCUCUAAAACAUUGACAGGUAAACAUUCAGAAUGAUGCAGUUCCUUGGUUGGAUAAUGGUUGAUGCUAAUUACUUUAAGAGUGUAAUCUGACUAGCUGGAAGCAGUUACCAUAAUUAAUUUCUGUGUUUACAUUUGUGCAAUCAUGUCUUUUGUGUGAUACUCAACUUAGGAAAAAUUAUGAAGUUAAAAUAAUUGUGUAUUUUAUCUAACAAUUCAAAAGCAAUGGUAAAUCAAAUGAUUCAACAACAAAUAUUUACAGUGAAUACUCUGAUCCAAGCACUAUGCAGAGCCUGUGGAUACAGUGAGAGACAUAGCGUGGUCUAAGGAGAUAGACAAGUAAACUGUCAAUCCUAUCUUGGGAAAUAAUUCAGUGAUGAGAAGGGGAGUACAGAAAGCUUAUGGGAGCAUGGAGAAGAGCACCUAACCUAGCCUGGACUUGGGAAGGUGUGGGAUAAGAACAGGAUACAGGCGUUCCCGUCGUGGCUCUGCCUAAAUGAACCUGGCUGGUAUCCAUGAGGAUGCAGGUUCGAUCCCUGGCCUUGCUUGGUGGGUUAAGGAUCCGGCAUUGCUGUGAGCUGUGGUGUAGGUCGGCAGCUGUAGCUCCGAUUCGAUCCCUACUCUGGAAACCUCCAUAUUCUCUGAGUGCAGCCCUAAAAAAAAAAAAAAAAAAAAAAAAAAAAA
rnacentral:lncRNA from 9 species